CCUACGGGAGACAGCAGUGAGGAAUAUUGGUCAAUGGACGAGAGUCUGAACCAGCCAAGUAGCGUGAAGGAUGACUGCCCUAUGGGUUGUAAACUUCUUUUAUAUGGGAAUAAAAUGUUCCACGUGUGGGAUUUUGUAUGUACCCUAUGAAUAAGGAUCGGCUAACUCCGUGCCAGCAGCCGCGGUAAUACGGAGGAUCCGAGCGUUAUCCGGAUUUAUUGGGUUUAAGGGGAGCGUAGGUGGAUUGUUAAGUCAGUUGUGAAAGUUUGCGGCUCAACCGUAAAAUUGCAGUUGAAACUGGCAGUCUUGAGUACAGGAGAGGUGGGCGGAAUUCGUGGUGUAGCAGUGAAAUGCUUAGAUAUCACGAAGAACUCCGAUUGCGAAGGCAGCUCACUGGACUGCAACUGACACUGAGGCUCGAAAGUGUGGGUAUCAAACAGGAUUAGAUACCCCUGUAGUC
rnacentral:rRNA from 1 species